CCUACGGGAGGCAGCAGUGGGGGAUAUUGCACAAUGGGGGAAACCCUGAUGCAGCGACGCCGCGUGAGGGAAGAAGUAUUUCGGUAUGUAAAGCUCUAUCAGCAGGGAAGAAAAUGACAGUACCUGACCCAGAAGCCCCGGCUAACUACGUGCCAGCAGCCGCGGUAAUACGUAGGGGGCAAGCGUUAUCCGGAUUUACUGGGUGUAAAGGGUGCGUAGACGGUUAUGUAAGUCUGGAGUGAAAGCCCGGGGCCUAACCCCGGGACUGCAUUGGAAACUGUGUAACUGGAGUACAGGAGGGGCAGGCGGAAUGCCUGGUGUAGCGGUGAAAUGCGUAGAGAUCAGGAAGAACACCGGCGGCGAAGGCGGCCUGCUGGACUGAAACUGACGUUGAGGCUCGAAAGCGUGGGGAGCAAACAGGAUUAGAUACCCCUGUAGUC
rnacentral:rRNA from 1 species